rnacentral:rRNA from 1 species
GAUGAACGCUGGCGGCGUGCCUAAUACAUGCAAGUCGAGCGAACAGAUGAGAGGCUUGCUUCUCUGAUGUUAGCGGCGGACGGGUGAGUAACACGUGGGUAACCUACCUAUAAGACUGGGAUAACUCCGGGAAACCGGGGCUAAUACCGGAUAAUAUUUUGAACCGCAUGGUUCAAUAGUGAAAGACGGUUUCGGCUGUCACUUAUAGAUGGACCCGCGCCGUAUUAGCUAGUUGGUAAGGUAACGGCUUACCAAGGCGACGAUACGUAGCCGACCUGAGAGGGUGAUCGGCCACAGUGGAACUGAGACACGGUCCAGACUCCUACGGGAGGCAGCAGUAGGGAAUCUUCCGCAAUGGGCGAAAGCCUGACGGAGCAACGCCGCGUGAGUGAUGAAGGUCUUCGGAUCAUAAAACUCUGUUGUUAGGGAAGAACAAAUUUGUUAGUAACUGAACAAGUCUUGACGGUACCUAACCAGAAAGCCACGGCUAACUACGUGCCAGCCGCCGCAGUAA